rnacentral:rRNA from 1 species
GACGAACGCUGGCGGCGUGCUUAACACAUGCAAGUCGAACGGAAAGGCCCCUUUGGGGGUACUCGAGUGGCGCACGGGUGAGUAACACGUGAGUAACCUGCCCUUGACUUCGGGAUAACUUCAGGAAACUGGGGCUAAUACCGGAUAGGAAUCCUUGCUGCAUGGUGGGGGUUGGAAAGCUUCGGCGGUUUUGGAUGGACUCGCGGCUUAUCAGCUUGUUGGUGGGGUAGUGGCUUACCAAGGCUUUGACGGGUAGCCGGCCUGAGAGGGCGACCGGCCACAUUGGGACUGAGAUACGGCCCAGACGCCUACGGGAGGCAGCGGUGGGGAAUAUUGCACAAUGGGCGGAAGCCUGAUGCAGCAACGCCGCGUGCGGGAUGACGGCCUUCGGGUUGUAAACCGCUUUCAGCAGGGGCGAAGCUUGUGGUGACGGUACCUGCAGAAGAAGCACCGGCUAACUACGUG